rnacentral:rRNA from 1 species
GAUGAACGCUGGCGGCGUGCCUAAUACAUGCAAGUCGAGCGAACAGAUGAGGAGCUUGCUCCUCUGACGUUAGCGGCGGACGGGUGAGUAACACGUGGAUAACCUACCUAUAAGACUGGGAUAACUUCGGGAAACCGGAGCUAAUACCGGAUAAUAUAUUGAACCGCAUGGUUCAAUAGUGAAAGACGGUUUUGCUGUCACUUAUAGAUGGAUCCGCGCCGCAUUAGCUAGUUGGUAAGGUAACGGCUUACCAAGGCAACGAUGCGUAGCCGACCUGGGAGGGUGAUCGGCCACACUGGAACUGAGACACGGUCCAGACUCCUACGGGAGGCAGCAGUAGGGAAUCUUCCGCAAAGGGCGAAAGCUUGACGGAGCAACGCCGCGUGAGUGAUGAAGGUCUUCGGAUCGUAAAACUCUGUUAUUAGGGAAGAACAAAUGUGUAAGUAACUAUGCACGUCUUGACGGUACCUAAUCAGAAAGCCACGGCUAACUACGUG